rnacentral:tRNA from 1 species
GCCGGGGUGGUGAAAUUGGUAGACGCAGCGGACUCAAAAUCCGCCGGGACCUGGUCCCGUGCCGGUUCGAUUCCGGCCCUCGGCA